UACGGGGGGGGUAAGCGUUGUUCGGAAUUACUGGGCGUAAAGGCUCGUAGGCGGCCAACUAAGUCGGACGUGAAAUCCCUCAGCUUAACUGGGGAACUGCGUCCGAUACUGGAUGGCUUGGAUUUGGGAGAGGGAUGCGGAAUUCCAGGUGUAGCGGUGAAAUGCGUAGAUAUCUGGAGGAACACCGGUGGCGAAGGCGGCAUCCUGGACCAAUAUUGACGCUGAGGAGCGAAAGCCAGGGGAGCGAACGGG
rnacentral:rRNA from 1 species